UACGAAGGGUGCAAGCGUUACUCGGAAUUACUGGGCGUAAAGCGUGCGUAGGUGGUUUGUUAAGUCUGAUGUGAAAGCCCUGGGCUCAACCUGGGAAUUGCAUUGGAUACUGGCAGGCUAGAGUGCGGUAGAGGAUGGUGGAAUUCCCGGUGUAGCAGUGAAAUGCGUAGAGAUCGGGAGGAACAUCUGUGGCGAAGGCGGCCAUCUGGACCAGCACUGACACUGAGGCACGAAAGCGUGGGGAGCAAACAGG
rnacentral:rRNA from 1 species